UUUGUUCUCCCCCCGGGUGAUAGCAUAUCAUAGCGAGAAAGAAACACAGGGAUGCUCAGUACGCGAGUGAAGCGGCAACAGCUCAAAUUUGAAAUCUGGCCCCAGGCCCGAGUUGUAAUUUGCAGAGGAUGCUUUUGGUGAGGUGCCUUCCAAGUUCCCUAGAACGGGACGCCAGAGAGGGUGAGAGCCCCGUACAGUUGGACACCGAGCCUUUGUAAAGCUCCUUCGACGAGUCGAGUAGUUUGGGAAUGCUGCUCAAAAUGGGAGGUAUAUUUCUUCUAAAGCUAAAUACCGGCCAGAGACCGAUAGCGCACAAGUAGAGUGAUCGAAAGAUGAAAAGCACUUUGAAAAGAGGGUUAAACAGCACGUGAAAUUGUUAAAAGGGAAGCGCUUGUGACCAGACUUGCGUCCGGUGAAUCACCCAGCUCUCGCGGCUGGGGCACUUCGCCGGCUCAGGCCAGCAUCAGCUCGCUGUCGGGGACAAAAGCUUCAGGAACGUAGCUCUCUUCGGGGAGUGUUAUAGCCUGUUGCAUAAUACCCUUCGGCGGGCUGAGGUACGCGCUCCGCAAGGAUGCUGGCAUAAUGGUCAUCAGCGACCCGUCUUGAAACACGGACCAAGGAGUCAACCUUAUGUGCGAGUGUUCGGGUGUCAAACCCCUACGCGUAAUGAAAGUGAACGCAGGUGAGAGCUUCGGCGCAUCAUCGACCGAUCCUGAUGUUCUCGGAUGGAUUUGAGUAAGAGCAUAUAGGGUUGGACCCGAAAGAAGGUGAACUAUGCGUGUGUAGGGUGAAGCCAGAGGAAACUCUGGUGGAGGCUCGCAGCGGUUCUGACGUGCAAAUCGAUCGUCAAACAUGCGCAUGGGGGCGAAAGACUAAUCGAACCUUCUAGUAGCUGGGUUUCCGCGAGCUUCUCUCUCCGCGAGAUGAUGAUAAA
rnacentral:rRNA from 1 species